UUUACCCCACCUGCCUUUAGGAAGGUCGUGAUUCUCUGACAAAAGAACAGCAGCAGCAGAGCCCUGCGCGUCUCUUGGAGGGACUGAGUGGUGAUACAAGUUGCAGAGAAGGGCUUGGCAGGUUGCUAUCCACCAACGUCAAACCUAGUGCUGCGCUGAGCCCUUACUGGAGUGCCGGCUAUGGUUCUGGGCUGUUAGGGGCACGGAGUGUGAUUUUGUCCACCAGCUGCAGCUCUGGGGCAUCUGAUAUUGACGCAGCAGGGAAUGAGUGAGCUUUAUUUAGGGUCAGAAACCCCGAGUCCAGCCCUGACCCCACCCUUGCUGUCUCUGUUAACAGCUCCUCAUCCCUAAAAUGGAGUUAACUCAGAUGACACAUGGAGUGAAUGCUGGAGGUGAUCAGUACUCCUAGGUGGAGAACGAGGUUCGGCAUUAUUCAAGCUAAUUGGGAAGAGUCUGCUUCAUAUUACAGGAGUUCUGGCUUGGUGUGGACCUCUCGGCCUUGGCUCUCCAUCUUUGUCUGUGUGCAGAGAAGUCUCAAGGCUCAGCUGCACCCACAAGAUGGUGUCCUUUCAUCCUGCUCCUCUUGUCUCUCUUGCCCUGGGCCUGGGCUUCAGCUGUGGCUGACUGUGAACUGGGUGAGGCAUGAUGCUCAAUGCAGUUGGUCCCACUUCUGUUUGAACUACUGCCCGAGGAGUUUUGGAAUAUCUUGUUUCAUACUUCUAGAAGUGGAAGCGCUUGUUCCUGUCAUUUUAGACGUCUGUAAAGCUGUUGUCCUAAGGAUGAAUGGAGGACUUGUGUUCAGUAAAUAAAAAUACCUCCAGCUGCCUAGAUCAGUCAUAGUCACAUUUGUGAAAGAGAAUAAACGUUUCUUAUUUUUCUCAUAACAGUUUUUUUUUCUGGAACAUUUAGGUAGAUCCUGGUUAGUUUCAGAACAUAUUUAGGCUUAUUGCAAUGGAUUUAGAGUUGUGCUUUGUAUGUGCAAUGAACCUGGCAUUUUCAGCACCAUUGGAUCAGCUGGGCCACUGGAACCAAUGAACCGAGCAGGCCCCGCAGCAGCCUGGACCUGUUAAAGAGCCAUGGUCUGCGCUGGGCUCACUGUAAACUAGCAGCUUCCCAGGUCACUUGGUGAACAGAAGAAAUAGCAAUCCCAUUGGGGAAUAUGCUGCCAACUCCGAAGAGGCCAACAGGACUUGUACCUCUGUUUUGAGUCAUGGGAAAGACCAGAUGAAAUGACAUAUUCACUUGGAAGGUUUAACGUAACAUGACACACACUGCUGCCCCCCGGAAAUCUCUCUGAAGUGGAAGGCGUCGUAAGUUUUGCUUCACAAAACCAGGAAUUUUUUCAGAAAUUUUUGUUUCAGGUGGGAUUAUUUCUCACAUUUUCACACACAAGUACAUUACCAGUAAGUCUAGAGUAGCAUUUAAUAUUUUAUGGAGAGUUUUGGAUAGUGCCCAGCACAAAGUAAAUACAGAAUAAUUGCUAUUAGUUCUAGGAACUGGAGAAGAAAGCUUGCUCUGAACAUGUCUCAUUUGAAAUAAAUAGUCCAAGCAACAAUCUCCCAAUAUUUAAGAGUAUUCAUGUGCCUCGUCCAAGACAAAUCUCUGAUUAAAGCCCCUAGUCCCCUCUCUGUUCUCUAGCUCUCUUACCAUUAGGAGCUUGGAACAUUCCUACUCAAGAGGGACAUUUCCUUUCAUUUGUGUUACUUUUCCCUUCCCAUCGUCCGUCUGUCCUUCCCUUUGGACUCUCAGCAGCUUCUGCACUGUUCCCAGGAUAGCCUUUUCCCAGUGGGUUUGCUUCUCUGCCGCCUGCAGCCCAUGAGAAAUGGUAAUUCUCUAACUUGAAGACGUAUUUGCAGGAGGUUUUCUUUUUUUAUUCUCAAAGAAGGGACCAGGCAAAGCUAAGCUGGCAAUGGCUUGUGGAGAGGAUGGUUUGGGAGGAGGGAAGGCUGGGAUGCUCACAUAUUGAAAGCUGUUGUGUAGUUACAAAUG
rnacentral:lncRNA from 1 species